CAUGGCUGUCGUCAGCUCGUGUUGUGAAAUGUUGGGUUAAGUCCCGCAACGAGCGCAACCCUUAUCCUUUGUUGCCAGCACGUAAUGGUGGGAACUCAAAGGAGACUGCCGGUGAUAAACCGGAGGAAGGUGGGGAUGACGUCAAGUCAUCAUGGCCCUUACGAGUAGGGCUACACACGUGCUACAAUGGCGCAUACAAAGAGAAGCGAACUUGCGAGAGUAAGCGGACCUCAUAAAGUGCGUCGUAGUCCGGAUUGGAGUCUGCAACUCGACUCCAUGAAGUCGGAAUCGCUAGUAAUCGUAGAUCAGAAUGCUACGGUGAAUACGUUCCCGGGCCUUGUACACACCGCCCGUCACACCAUGGGAGUGGGUUGCAAAAGAAGUAGGUAGCUUAACCUUCGGGAGGGCGCUUACCACUUUGUGAUUCAUGACUGGGGUGAAGUCGUAACAAGGUAACCGUAGGGGAACCUGCGGUUGGAUCACCUCCUUACC
rnacentral:rRNA from 1 species